rnacentral:rRNA from 1 species
AUUGAACGCUGGCGGCAGGCUUAACACAUGCAAGUCGAGCGGGGGAAGGUAGCUUGCUACCGGACCUAGCGGCGGACGGGUGAGUAAUGCUUAGGAAUCUGCCUAUUAGUGGGGGACAACAUCUCGAAAGGGAUGCUAAUACCGCAUACGUCCUACGGGAGAAAGCAGGGGAUCUUCGGACCUUGCGCUAAUAGAUGAGCCUAAGUCGGAUUAGCUAGUUGGUGGGGUAAAGGCCUACCAAGGCGACGAUCUGUAGCGGGUCUGAGAGGAUGAUCCGCCACACUGGGACGGGGACACGGCCCAGGAUCCUACGGGAGGCAGCAGUGGGGAAUAUUGGACAAGGGGGGGAACCCUGAUCCAGCCAUGCCGCGUGUGUGAAGAAGGCCUUAUGGUUGUAAAGCACUUUAAGCGAGGAGGAGGCUACUCUAGUUAAUACCUAGGGAUAGUGGACGUUACUCGCAGAAUAAGCACCGGCUAACUCUGUGCCAGCCGCCGCCGUAA